ensembl:lncRNA
CUCUGGGUACUCACCAGGUUCCUCCCUGACCCCCUCAGGGGAACUCAGGAGAUCAAGUGAUGGCAGCAGAGCUCCUGCCAGUUGGGCCCCAGCUGUUCUGUGAAGUGAUGGUGGAAGUAGUAUCUUCAUUUUUAAUAAUGAGCAAACUGAGGCACAUCAAGGUGGAGUGAUUUGCCACAGCCACAGAGGUUGUAGAUUUUGUAGUUGAGAAUUGAAUCCACUUCUGAUUCCUGUGAAGAAAUCUGACCCCUGUGGGAGUCCAGUGAACCUGUGGACCUCUUUCAGAACCAUGUUUUGAAAUUACUGAAGGAAAUGCUAAAUUUCAUUUGGAAGAUAAUUGUUUUCCCAUUCAAUAUUUUCUCAUUCAAGACCACAGACUCCCUGAAAUCUAUAAACAGGCCCCUUGUAUGUCUCUGGAGCCCACGGUCCCAGACUGCGCACUGCAACAGAGAGCACUCACUGAAGAAACGAAGAUGGACAUGAAAUCCCUGGGCAAGGGCCUGGAGUCACCGCCUGCUCUACCCUGUAGCAGUGAUGCCUCACUGGGUACCCAGCCUGGAUCGACGCACCCUGAGCCCCUGCUUCCUUUCCGUGGUCUCCAACCAGAUUGUGAAACCAACACUGAGUUCAAGUUGUUGACAGUUAAAGAAGAAAUAUUUGAAGAGGAAGACUCUCAGGUGGUAAUAUUAGAAAGACUUAUAGGGGAUGUUCCUCAAGGACCUGAAUUUGGAGAAGGGUGUGAACAUGAGGAAGGAUUAGCACAACAUUGGGGUAUUUCUGAAGGAGAUGGGCUAAUAAAAUCACUUUCUCAGGAGAGGAGUUUCAGACCAGUGACCAUGGUCCACAAGAGUUCUCCAGGGGAGAUUGGCCAAGAAUGUUACGAGUUUGGCAGAAGCUUUAGUCUGAGUUCAGACCCUGUUAUGUAUCAAAGAAUUUCAUCAGGAGAAUGGUCUCAUCAGCUUGAUAACUGUGACCAAAGCUUUAAACAGAAUUCAGAUCUAAUUAACUACUCAACCAUCCAUGUAUCUGAAACACCAUGUCAGUUUAAUGAAUAUGGGAAAAUCUUCAGUCAGAGCCCAACCCUUAAUGAACAUAUGGGAGUACAGGCUGAGGAGAAACCCUAUGAGUGCAAUGAGUGUGGGAAGUCCUUCAGGGGAAGCUCAGAUCUUAUUCGACAUCAAAGUGUUCAUACUGGAGAGAAGCCGUAUAUAUGUAAUGAGUGUGGAAAAGCCUUCAGCCAGAAUGCAAUCCUCAAAAAGCAUCAACGAUCUCAUGUUACUGAGAAACCCUAUGAAUGUAACGAAUGUGGGAAAACCUUCAGUGUACGCUCCAACCUCACUCGACAUCAGAUAAAUCACACUGGAGAGAAGCCCUAUAUCUGUAAUGAAUGUGGGAAAGCUUUUAACCAGAACUCAAGCCUUAAGAAACAUCAAAGAAUCCACAACAGUGAGAAGCCCUAUAUAUGUAAUGAAUGUGGGAAGGCGUUUAGGCGGAGUUCAAACCUUAUUCAGCAUGAGAGAAUUCAUUCUGGAGAGAAGCCCUAUGGUUGUCAUGAAUGUGGGAAAGCCUUUAGGCGAAGCUCAAACUUAAUUAAACAUCAUCGAAUUCACACAGGAGAGAAGCCUUUUGAGUGCCACGAAUGUGGCAAAGCCUUUAGCCAGAGUGCACACUUGAGGAAACAUCAGAGAGUUCACACAGGAGAGAAACCCUAUCAGUGUAAUGAAUGUGGGAAACCUUUCAGUCGAAUCUCCAACCUCAUAAAACAUCAUAGAGUUCAUACUGGAGAAAAACCCUAUAAGUGUAAUGACUGUGGAAAAGCUUUCAGUCAGAGUUCAAGCCUCAUUCAGCAUCGGAGGAUUCAUACUGGAGAAAAACCACACAAAUGCAAUGAGUGUGGCAAAGCCUUUAGUUACAGCUCAGUCCUUAGGAAACAUCAGAUAAUUCACACUGGAGAGAAACCUUAUGAAUGUAAUGUGUGUGGCAAAGCCUUCAGCCAUAGUUCAGCUCUAAUUCAACAUCAGGGGAUCCAUACUGGAGAUAAGCCCUACGAAUGCAAUGAAUGUGGGAAAACCUUUGGUCGGAGCUCCAACCUCAUUCUUCAUCAGCGAGUUCAUACAGGUGAGAAACCCUAUGAAUGUAAUGAAUGCGGGAAGACCUUCAGCCAGAGUUCAACCCUAAUUCAGCAUCAAAGGAUUCAUAAUGGAUUAAAACCCCAUGAAUGUAAUGAAUGUGGCAAAGCCUUCAAUCGAAGCUCAAAUCUCAUCCACCAUCAGAAGAUCCACACUGGAGAGAAACCUUAUACAUGUACCGAAUGUGGCAAAGCCUUCAGCCAAAGCUCACACCUCAUUCAACAUCAGAUAAUCCACACUGGUGAGAGACCCUAUAAAUGUAACGAAUGUGGGAAAUCCUUCAGUCAGCGCUCAGUCCUGAUCCAACACCAGAGAAUUCACACUGGAGUGAAACCCUAUGAAUGCAGCGACUGUGGGAAAGCCUUCAGUCAGCGCUCAAAACUCCUAAAACACCAGAUAAUUCAUACCAGGGUGUGAUCUUUCUAGUGUAAUAGGCAUGUAAAAUACUUAAUAACCAGGGAAUCCAGAGUGAUUCUCUUCUGAUUUCCUAUCCUCUUUUCUGUCAGUGGCACCAUUCAUUCUCCCCAUCACCCAGGCUCAAAACCCUGGAAUUAUUAUUAACUUAUCCCCCUCCUUUAUACUUCUAUAUCUAAUUAGACAUAAAGUCCUGUUGAUUCUUUCUUUGACAUGUCUCAUGGCUGUACCUUUAUUUCUAUUCUUCUACCACCCAACAAGCCCUUCUUCUGGUGCCCAGUAUUACCUCUUAAUGUUUUUAUGUUGUGAGCAGACAACCAUGCUAUGUGGGCAACAAUUGACAAAAUGAAAUAUAUAAAGAGCUUACUAUUAUAAUGAAAUAAAACCUACCAAAAUUUAAUCUGACA